GUCAAGUCAUCAUGGCCCUUACGCCCAGGGCGACACACGUGCUACAAUGGCCAGGACAGAGGGCUGCGAAGCGGUAACGUGGAGCGAAUCCCGCAAAGCCUGUCGUAGUUCGGAUUGCAGGCUGCAACUCGCCUGCAUGAAGCCGGAGUUGCUAGUAACCGUGGGUCAGCCACACUACGGUGAAUACGUUCCCGGGCCUU
rnacentral:rRNA from 1 species